CAACAAUCUCACUCGAUAAUGCAUAUGCUAGGCAGAGCAAGCCAAACAUUACUUGAAGGAAAAAAAAACACAUCAUUCAAAGAGCACAUAAAA